rnacentral:rRNA from 1 species
AUUGAACGCUGGCGGCAGGCCUAACACAUGCAAGUCGAACGAGUGGCGGACGGGUGAGUAAUGUCUGGGAAACUGCCUGAUGGAGGGGGAUACCUCCUGGAAACGGUAGCUAAUACCGCAUACCAUCGGAUGUGCCCAGAGGGGAUUAGCUAGUAGGUGGGGUAACGGCUCACCUAGGCGACGAUCCCUAGCUGGUCUGCGAGGAUGACCAGCCACACUGGAACUGAGACACGGUCCAGACUCCUACGGGAGGCAGCAGUGGGGAAUAGUGCACAAUGGGCGCAAGCCUGAUGCAGCCAUGCCGCGUGUGUGAAGAAGGCCUUCGGGUUGUAAAGCACUUUCAGCGGGGAGGCGUUACCCGCAGAAGAAGCACCGGCUAACUCCGUGCCAGCAGCCGCGGUAAUUC